GGCUUUUUGAUAAUAAUUUAAGGUYUAACCUGCCCAAUGAGUAGUUAAAUGGCCGCGGUAAUUUGACCGUGCAAAGGUAGCAUAAUCAUUAGUUUUUUAAUUGAAAGCUGGAAUGAAAGGUUUGAUGAAAAAAUUACUGUCUCUAUUUAAAUUAUUUAGAAUUUUAUUUUUAAGUUAAAAAGCUUAAAUUUUUAUAAAAGACGAGAAGACCCUAUAGAGUUUAAUAUUUUUUAUCUAAAAAUUAUUUCAGUAUUUUAUCUAUUUUUAAUAAAAAGUAUUUAGUUGGGGUGAUUGAAAAAUUGAUUUAACUUUUUUUUUAUUUAAUCAUUAAUUUAUGAAUAAUUGAUCCUUAUUUUGAGAUUAAAAGAUAAAAUUACCUUAGGGAUAACAGCGUAAUUUUUUUUAARAGUUCUAAUCGAAAAAAAAGAUUGCGACCUCGAUGUUGGAUUAAAAUUAAUUUAUGGUGUARAASCUAUAAAAUUAGGUCUGUUCGACCUUUAAAAUUUUACAUGAUCUGAGUUUAAACCGGUGUGAGCCAGGU
rnacentral:rRNA from 1 species